GGGAUGUGGAUUGCUCCUGCAGUAGCCGGAGGCGAGCUGCGCAGGCAACUGGCCAAGGAAGGUGCAGAGCGCUCCAGGUGGAAACAAGGUACCAGCCUUUGGACACCAGCGCAGGAAGAAGGAGCUUGGAGGCUUGCUCCAAACUGGAAGCACACAGGGAACGAGAUCUCUUCCCAGCUGCCAAAAGGAGGAUGUUUCUUCCAUCUGGACUUGGACAUUCCUUCACCCCAUCUCUGCCCCCAAAACCCCAUCCCAAAGGCAGGGAGGGGAAGGACUAAUGAGCUGCUGAUAGCCGGAGAGCAGAUCACAGAGGCUCCACUCCGUCUGCCCAGUGUUCAGACUACCUGUUCAGGACUACGAGAUUGUACAGUAGUCUGCACAUUGGUUAGGCUGUGCUGGGAUACACCACACACUGCCAGUGCUGCACGGGGACGGCAACACCUGCACGGCAGAGGGACAUGCAUGGAGAGGGUGGGCUGCGGGGCAGCUGCAUGCAGAGUUCACCCAUCCCUCAGCCUGGGAGGAUAACAGCACCCUUUGAAGCCGUGCUCGAUCACUUCUACCUGCCUGCUUACCAGCCUGCUCACAUUCUUCUUACUCUCUCUCCACCUCUCCUUCAUUCCCUUCUCAGCCAUCCAUGCUUUCUUUCAGCUUUGUGUACUUGUCCCAGGGAUGGCUGCGCUGAUGGCUUGUUUCACGUGCUAAGCUUUGCCAUAAAGUGCAGAGAGAAACAGGAGGGCCUGGUGGAGCUACAACUGCACUGCACUUUGCUACCUGAGAAGGCAGGAUCGAGCAGAGAAAGGUGAAUGGAGAGAGGGGAAUUCACAUCUUAAAGAAUGCUGAUGUUUAAAAAAAAAAAACAAACAAAAACCUAAAGGAUUGAAAGUUGGAGGUUUGAGUGUUCUGGAAGUUGUGUUUGCUUUGAUGUUUGUCUGGAAAAUAAAAGAGAAAUGGUGAGUGAAAGUA